UACGUAGGGUCCGAGCGUUGUCCGGAAUUAUUGGGCGUAAAGGGCUCGUAGGCGGUCUGUUGCGUCGGGAGUGAAAACUUACAGCUUAACUGUGAGCGUGCUUCCGAUACGGGCAGACUUGAGGUAUUCAGGGGAGAACGGAAUUCCUGGUGUAGCGGUGAAAUGCGCAGAUAUCGAGAGGAACACCAGUGGCGAAGGCGAGUCCCUGGACAACACCUGACACUGAGGCACGAAAGCUAGGGGAGCAAACAGG
rnacentral:rRNA from 1 species